ACAGAACAGAACUUUCCACAGUAUCCUGAUGUCAAUGCGAGUGUGUUCCCUGCAUUUUCAUUCUGGAAAACCAGCAAAUGAAAUGUACACCUCGCAUCCGGAUUGGGCACCAUCACUACACUUGGGCCACACUGAGAUAAAGGCCACACAGACUGCACGCUAUGAGAGACAGGAAAAGAGAAAACGGCAAAGGACUGACAGUACACCUGCGAGGAUGAGACAGCUAUUGAUGACCUUGUUCCACCCGUGGAGACACCAGCACCAGCUGAGGAUGGAGCUGAGCAGACACCGCUGACAGAAUGUGACUUCUGUCAGCGCCGGCGUGCUGAAAUCAACCGGCUGCUGGAGGAGAACAGGACCCUGAAACGUCUUGCACUCUCAGCGCAUUAAUGAGACUCCCCUGAAGCCAUGGGUCAUCAUUGCUGACGAUGGGCAGGUUUGCUGUGCACACUGUACAUGCAUGGCUGGAAUUGCAGAGGCAUGUACACAUGUUGGGGCUCUGCUGUUUAAGAUUGAGGCAGCAGUCCGCAUCCGUGGGAAAAAGACUGUGACAGAUGUGCCAGCUUAUUGGAAAAUACCAGCAGGUAUCAACAAA